UACAGAGGCCUCGAGCGUUAGGCGGAAUCCCUGGGCUUAAAGCGUGUGUAGGCGGAUUGCUAAGUACCUUGUGAAAUCCCACGGCUUAACCGUGGAACUGCUUGGUAUACUGGCUGUCUUGAGCCAUCUAGGGGCAACCGGAACAAACGGUGGAGCGGUGAAAUGCGUAGAGAUCGGAAAGAACACCAACGGCGAAAGCACUCUGCUGGGCCGACACUGACACUGAGAGACGAAAGCUAGGGGAGCGAAUGGG
rnacentral:rRNA from 1 species